GGGGUGUUUUGAUGCACAGUGCCAGUAUGAUCUAAACAUUUUCUGAGUACUACAAUGAAUUGAAUAUUGUGUUAAGUUAUGAGAAUGCAAAAGUGAAUAAAACAAGAUGGUCCCAGGCCACACAAAACUGAUAGUUUUGCUAGGGACUUGUGUACACAUCUAUAAUAAAUGAUAACACUUCAUUCUAAUAAUAUAAAUAAAGUUCUUAGGAAGAAUGGAGCAAUGCUGAGAUAGCAUCUGAGGCCAAUUUCCAGUAUUUCAAAAUAUAUUUUUGUAUUUGGAGACAUGAAAUCUAUCUAAUUCACUCUCAGGACAACUAGCACAUUUAGAUCUAAAACUGACUAGAUACAUGUCUGAGUCUAUUAUUUCCCAAUUUCAGUGUUACUCUAUAAAAUAGAAAAUUUUAAAAAACUAGAAUUAUUUCAAGAAAGUCUGUUUUCUGAGAUCUAACAACUACUUACAAGACUUCAAAGAACUGCAAAAGUCAACAAUAUAAAAGUUUGAGUAACAAGAAUAAAAUAAUCAGCUUCUGAGUAGGCUAUUGGGGGGGGGACUUUUUUUUUUUUAACCUAAAUUCACAAUGUAAAAGCCUGCCUUGCUCACUAUUUACAAGAAAAAUAAAAUGUCCAAGUAAUAAUUUGAUACCUACAUGAAAGGACAGAACCAGACACGCAAAAAACAAACAAACAAAACAACAACAACAACAAUAACAACAACCCCCCCCCAAAAAAAACACAUAGCUUUAUUUUAGGUGGUUAUUAUCCUUGCAAGAAAUAAUUUUUUCUCUUUUUAUUUUUUCCAUGCCCAUGGCAUGUGGAAGUUCCUGGGCCAGGGAUUGAACCUGUACCACAGCAGUGACUGCAGCCACAGCAGUGGCAAAGUUGGAUCCUUAGCCAGCUGAGCCACAGGGGACUCUCCCAAGAAAUAAUUUUAAAAAACAAGAAAGCUGGAGUUCCCAUAGUGGCUCAGCGGAAAUGAAUCUGACUAGCAUCCAUGAGGUAGCAGGUUUGAUCCCUGGCCUUACUCAGUGGGUUAAGGAUUCAGCAUUGCUGUGAGCUGUGGUGUAGGUCACAGACGAGCUCAGAUCUGGUGUUGCUGUGGCUGUGGCGUAGGCCAGCAGCUGUAGCUCUGAUUAGACCCCUAGCGUGGGAACCUCCAUAGGCCACAGGUGCGGCCCUAAAAAGACACAAGACAAAAAACAAAGAAACAAGAGAGCCUUGGAUAUAGCAGAUGCUCAAUAAUUGCUACUAAUACACUGAUUAUCACUGUACUUCAGGGGUAAUAUUCAAAUACAUAGUUUUCAAAGAAUAUUGCCUCUAGAUUCUCCAAAAGAGUAUUACCUCUGAGUUCCUUCUAAUUCAGUGGGUCCAAAUCCUAGCUCUGUCAGUAUGAUACAGACACCUCUCUACUACAUAGAUCUCUCUCUCUCCUGUCUCUUGGUCUCUACAGACCUCAAUUUCUUCAUUUGUAAAAUGGAGGAAUUGUAUUUAUCUCUUAAUAAGGGAAAUGGGAUACUAGGUCUCAUCCAACUUUCAUGCUUACAAAUUUCAUGACUUGAUAAACCUGAAAACUAUUCUCAAGUAAGGAGAAUGAAAACAGUCACAUCAGGGAAUACAAAGCACUGGGGAAAAAACACCAAAACAUUAAAAGAUGCAGGAUGUAGAGAUAAAAGCAUGCAAUUGUUUAAGGUCCAGGGUUCUGGUUAGUCUCCAUUCUACCAUUGAUCAAUGUGAAUCUGACUAGGUACCUCCCAUCAGUAUCCUCAUCUGAAACACAGAAAUAAUAAUGCCUUCCCUGACUGUUAUGAAAAGCAAAUAAUGCAAUGUAAAGAAUAUAAGGUAAAAUAUCAGGCAAAGAUGAAGUAUAUUAUCAUUAACUCAGUUAACAGUCUGAGGUCAACCUUGAACUCCUUGGCUAACUCCCUGAGAAACUAUGGCAAAGAAAGUUAGGUCUUUGUCAAGUUAUGCGAUGCUAAGAUGCAGUGUUUUGUUGCUUCCUAAAAAUAUAGUAUGUACUUUAUAAAUAUAGGUAGGUCAGUAAGAUUCCAAAUAACACUGUGUUUGACUUUAGACUUGUAUGUCUAGUCCCUUAGGUCACAGUCCACUUUUUCCCAGACAAUUUAGAAUAAAAUUCCAGAAUCAUUUUUUUUUUUUUUUUUGUCUUUUGUCUUUUUGCCUUUUGUUGUUGUUGUUGUUGCUAUUUCUUGGGCCGCUCCCGUGGCAUAUGGAAGUUCCCAGGCUAGGGGUUGAAUCGGAGCUGUAGCCACCGGCCUACGCCAGAGCCACAGCAACGCGGGAUCCGAGCCGCGUCUGCAACCUACACCACAGCUCACGGCAACACCGGAUCUUUAACCCACUGAGCAAGGGCAGGGACCGAACCCGCAACCUCAUGGUUCCUAGUCGGAUUCGUUAACCACUGCGCCACGACGGGAACUCCCCCCAGAAUCAUUUUAAAAUUGGAAGGGACCUCAUUUCUCCAGUCUUUCAUUCUGUCAGAUGAGGAAACAGAUCCUCUGAGGUUAAGAUGAUUACCCAAGAGCAUAGUACUAGUGUUUAAUUCAAAAUAUGGACCUACUAAAAUCCUUAGCCCCAAACCCUUGACACUACAAUGAAGGUAAAGACAAAGCAAGCAGGAUUAAGAUGAAUCCUUCUAGAUUUCUAGCAAGAUUCCUGGCUAUUUAAAUUCUAAUUUCAUACAGAAAAAGCUGGAAAACUCAGGAAAAAAAACCUCAAAGUCACUUGUAAUUCUCUAUCAUUAGUAAUGCUGGAUGUGAAUCUUUUUUUCUAAGUAGUUUACAAAAGUGCCAUUAUACUGGACAUACUCUUCUUUAAUCCUUUUUUUAAAAAAAAAUGUAACUAUUUACAUUAAACAUUUUCCAAUAUAAUUUUUAUAUUGCAAUGAAUGUGCUAUACACAUUAAAUACAUCACCCGUUAUUUCCUUAUGAAAGAGUUCUGUAAGAGAAAUGUCUGACUGUUUCACUACCACCAAAUUACAUUCUUCUUUAGUUUUAGGUUUCCGGCAAUUUAGAUUCCUGGUGUUUAACAAGGAACUAAAGUAAAUACCUGCAUUAGCAAGGUCAUAGGAUCUUUAAAGACAUGAAGAUUUGGGACACUGAUCAAGUUUCAAUCUUCCCAAAGAGAAACCACAGUGCUCACUUUUUAGGUUACAUCUGAAGGCAGCUCCAGAGGAAUAACAACACGGAACAAACCUCACAUUUACUUAAAAAGAUUAUCCACCACAUGCUCUACCUCCCUUAGUGCUUCACUUCACAGUGGGGAUCCAAUAACUUACAGAUGAAGCUCAAGGUUCAUACAAGACUGAUACUGACCUUGUUCCUCAUGUUUAGACAGCUUCUUUUGUCUGUAUUUUUCAGAAACAUCAUCAGUCUAACUGGAGUAGGUCUACUUAAUACGUGCAAAAGUAAUAUUGACCAACUUCCUUUCUGGGAGGGAAGGAUGGUCCUCAAAUAUUAAAACUGAACACUGUAAUAUGAAUGAUUAAACAGAACACAGCCCAAGAUUCAGGAAAUGGUACAAAUCUUCUUAACAGAAGUUAUUUUUUUUCCUUUCAAACUCCAAUUCUUUCUACAAUGACCAAAAAGGAAAGUCAGCAAAAUAUUUAAAAGAACUGACCUUUGAAUAUUGAUAAUUAAAACUUUACUGGUGAUUAAGAUAUUUCAGAAGCCUCUUAGCCUCUCUCAAUUCUAAAGAUUACUAACUUUGUCACUAAAAUCAUAUUACUGACUCUACUUAGAAAAAAGCUACACAAAUUAUUACUGUCUAGUGCUUUUUAUAUGCAAUGCUCUGUAUUAGGUUUUACAUACACUAUUCAUUUAUUCCACACCAUAAUUUUAUAAAAUAUGAAUUUUUUUUUUUUGUCUUUUUUUUUGCUAUUUUUUGGGCCGCUCCCAUGGCAUAUGGAAGUUUCCAGGCUAGGGGUCUAAUCGGAGCUGUAGCCACAGGCCUACGCCAGAACCACAGCAACGCGGGAUCCGAGCUGAGUCUGCAACCUACACCACAGCUCACGGCAACGCCAGAUCUUUAACCCACUGAGCAAGGGCAGGGACUGAACCCACAACCUCAUGGUUCCUAGUCGGAUUCGUUAACCACUGCGCCAUGACGGGAACUCCCUAAAAUAUGAAUUUUAACUACAUUUUAUAGAUGAGCAAAGAAUCUUCUGAGUCUACUCAGCUAGUAAAUGACAAACCAAGGUUCAAAUCCAGGACUGUGAGACUGCAGAUCCAAACUUUUACAACUAUACAACAGUUUAAAUAAAUAGAUAAAGAAGCAAGUGCAAUAAGUCAAUUAAAAUUCUGCAGUUUCCUAUUCUUCAGUGCAACUUGUAGACAAUCUAAAACUGUUUUUCAUUACCGUUGCCUUACUCAAAAAUUCCCACUGGGGACUACCCAUGGCCUAGGAAGUAUAUUUUCCCUGAGCCAAUUCUUAUCUAUGCCUCUUUUCUCAAUUUAAUUGCCAUUUCCUUAGAAAACUAUCUUGACCUUCUAGCCUAAAUUAUGCCUCUCUGUUAUUCUUUCAAAGUAUCCUUCUAUCCUUUGGGGCUCUUUUCAUAAUCUGUGGGUUAACCUGUUUAAAGUUUCAUUGGGCAGGGACCAAGUCUGUUGUGUUCAUCAAUCUAUAUGCCACUCCUAGCCUUGUAUACCUAGAGAUUAGCACUGUAUCUGUCAAAUAGAGAUGUUUUUUUGCUGAACCGCAUGCCUGGAAUGAAAUUAAGUCAGAUAGUCAAGGACUUCCAUAAUCUGGCCCUACUUUUAUCUUUUCAACUGCAUUUUGCUAAUUUUCCUCAAUUCAGUGCACCUUAUGGAGGUCUUUGGCUCCCUCUCCAAGCGUGUAAAUUCUACCCUGUCUUCCAAGUGCAACUCAAAAACCCACUUUCCCUAAAGAGUGCUAGCCCAGACAUACCCAGCCUCCUUUUAAACUUCUAAUAGACUUAUAUAGGAGUUGAUGAUCAUACUGCUAGUCCAGCUUUUAUUACAACUGUUUCGCAAGGCUAAUGUACUGUUCAUACAUAUAAAUCUUAGCCUCCAUCUAGACCUGCACUGUGCAAUACAGUAGUCACCACGUAUGUGUGUCCAUUAUGUAUAAAUCAAUUAAAAUGAAAUAAAAUUGAAAAUUUAGUUCCUCUUUCACACAAGCCACAUUGAAAGCACUCCCUAGCUACACAUGGUUAGUGGCUACGCAUAUUGGACAGGACAGAUAAAGAACAUUUCCACCAUCACAGAUUUUUCUGUAAGUGCCUUCAAGAAUUGUAUUUUAGGAGUUCCCGUGGUGGCUCAUGGUUAACGAAUCUGACUAGGAACCAUGAAGUUGCGGGUUCAAUCCCUGGCCUUGCUCAAUGGGUUAAGGAUCUGGCGUUGCCGUGAGCUGUGGUAUAGGUUGUAGACGUGGCUCGGAUCCUGCGUUGCUAUGUCUCUGGUGUAGGCUAGUGGCUAGAGCUCCGAUUAGACCCCUAGCCUGGGAACUUCCAUAUACUGCAGGAGUGGCCCNAAAAAAAAAAAAAAAAAAAAAAAAAAAAAAAAAAAAAAAAAAAAAAA
rnacentral:lncRNA from 1 species